AGUUUUGGUCCUAAACUUGCCCUCGUUUUUUAUCAAAAUUAUACAUGCAAGCCUCCACAUACCAGUGAGAAUGCCCACACACCCCAAACAGAAAGCCGGAGCAGGUAUCAGGAUUCAACACCAACUUUUAGCCAAAGACACCUUGCAUAUGCCACACCCCCACGGGCUAUCAGCAGUAAUUAACAUUAAAAUAUGAGUGAAAACUCGACUUAGUUAUGAUAAACAUGGCCGGUAAAUUUCGUGCCAGCCACCGCGGUUAUACGAAAGACCAAAAACAACGGCCCACGGCGUAAAGCGUGACUAGAGACAUAAAUCAUUAAAGGGGCACAACAGCCAAGUUGUAAAACACUAUUGCACGUUAGAACCACAACACAAAUGCCUUUAAAACACUUCACCUCACGAAAGCUAAGAAACAAACUGGGAUUAGAUACCCCACUAUGCUUAGCCCUAAACACAGAUAGUAUAAACACAACACUAUCCGCCAGAGAACUACAAGCGAAAAGCUCGAAACUCUAAGGACUUGGCGGUGCUUCAAAUCAGCCUAGAGGAGCCUGUCCUAUAAUCGAUACUCCACGUUUCACCCUACCUUUUCUAGCCAAUCAGCCUAUAUACCGCCGUCGUCAGCCUACCCCAUGAGGGGGACAAAGUGAGCAAAAAAGUUUUUAACUAACACGUCAGGUCAAGGUGUAGCACACGAAGAGGAAGAGAUGGGCUACAUUUUCUCAAAGAAAAAACACGAACAGCAUGCUGAAACACACGCUCGAAGGCGGAUUUAGUAGUAAAAUAAGUAAGAAUCCUUAUUUUAAACUUGCUCUGAAGCGCGCACACACCGCCCGUCACCCUCAUCACACGUAACAAAACACAAAAU
rnacentral:ncRNA from 1 species